rnacentral:pre_miRNA from 1 species
UCUUGGAGUAGGUCAUUGGGUGGAUCCUUUAUUUCCCUAUGUGGGCCACUGGAUGGCUCCUCCAUGUCU